UACGAAGGGGGCGAGCGUUGUUCGGAAUUACUGGGCGUAAAGGGCGCGUAGGCGGCCCCUUUUGUCGCGUGUGAAAGCCCCGGGCUCAACCUGGGAGGUGCGCGCGAAACGGGGGGGCUUGAGUUCGGGAGAGGAGAGUGGAAUUCCCAGUGUAGAGGUGAAAUUCGUAGAUAUUGGGAAGAACACCGGUGGCGAAGGCGGCUCUCUGGACCGAGACUGACGCUGAGGCGCGAAAGCGUGGGGAGCAAACAGGG
rnacentral:rRNA from 1 species